GACGAACCGUGCGAACGUUGUUCGGAAUCACUGGGCUUAAAGGGCGCGUAGGCGGCCUGAUAAGUAGGGGGUGAAAUCCUGCGGCUUAACCGCAGGGCUGCCUUCUAAACUGUCGGGCUAGAGCACGGUAGAGGCAGAUGGAAUUCCCGGUGUAGCGGUGGAAUGCGUAGAGAUCCGGAAGAACACCAGUGGCGAAGGCGGUUAGCUGGGGCAGUUGCUGACACUGAGGCGCGACAGCGUGGGGAGCAAACAGG
rnacentral:rRNA from 1 species